rnacentral:rRNA from 1 species
CCUACGGGAGGCAGCAGUGGGGAAUAUUGGACAAUGGGCGAAAGCCUGAUCCAGCAAUUCCGCGUGUGUGAAGAAGGCCUUCGGGUUGUAAAGCACUUUAGUGGGGGAAGAAACAGCUUGGCCACACCAAGCCUUGACGGUACCCCAAGAAUAAGCACCGGCUAACUCUGUGCCAGCAGCCGCGGUAAUACAGAGGGUGCAAGCGUUAAUCGGAUUUACUGGGCGUAAAGGGUGCGUAGGUGGCUAUUUAAGUCGGAUGUGAAAGCCCGGGGCUCAACCUCGGAAUUGCAUUCGAUACUGAGUGGCUAGAGUUCGGUAGAGGGCGGCGGAAUUUCCGGUGUAGCGGUGAAAUGCGUAGAUAUCGGAAGGAACAUCAAUGGCGAAGGCAGCCGCCUGGGCCUGGACUGACACUGAGGCACGAAAGCGUGGGUAGCAAACAGGAUUAGAUACCCUGGUAGUCCACGCCGUAAACGAUGAGAACUUGACGUUGGUUCGUUUUACGAAUCGGUGUCGCAGCUAACGCGAUAAGUUCUCCGCCUGGGGAGUACGGCCGCAAGGUUUGAAACCUUUAAGGAAUUGACCGGNUGAGACGNGCGACGACGACGACGAGGAGAG